rnacentral:rRNA from 1 species
ACAGCAGUCGCCACGGGAAUACGUAGGUGGCAAGCGUUGUCCGGAAUUAUUGGGCGUAAAGCGCGCGCAGGCGGAUAGGUCAGUCUGUCUUAAAAGUUCGGGGCCUAACCCCGUGAUGGGAUGGAAACUGCCAAUCUAGAGUAUCGGAGAGGAAAGUGGAAUUCCUAGUGUAGCGGUGAAAUGCGUAGAUAUUAGGAAGAACACCAGUGGCGAAGGCGACUUUCUGGACGAAAACUGACGCUGAGGCGCGAAAGCCAGGGGAGCGAACGGGAUUAGAUACCCCUGUAGUCCCUGUCUCUUAUACA